UACGAAGGACCCAAGCGUUAUCCGGAUUUAUUGGGUUUAAAGGGUGCGUAGGCGGGUUAUUAAGUCAGUGGUGAAAGCUCCUAGCUCAACUGGGAAAUUGCCAUUGAUACUGAUGAUCUUGAGUAUGAUUGAGGUUGGCGGAAUGUGUCAUGUAGCGGUGAAAUGCUUAGAUAUGACACAGAACACCGAUUGCGAAGGCAGCUAACUAAGCCAUAACUGACGCUGAUGCACGAAAGCGUGGGGAGCGAACAGG
rnacentral:rRNA from 1 species